rnacentral:ncRNA from 2 species
GUGAAUAUAAAGGGGAGCUUGCUUUAAGCAGGCUGAGAGUAAGCUGUUUGCUUAGACCCUUAGAACCUGAUUUGGGUAAUGCCAACGUAGGGAUAUAAUAAGAAGAGGU